GGUGGGAUGUCCGAGCCCGGUUUAUGGAGAUGGUCUUGAAAACCAUUGUGGCGCAAGUCACCGGGGGUUCGAAUCCCUCUCCCACCGCCA
rnacentral:tRNA from 1 species